rnacentral:rRNA from 1 species
GAGUUUGAUCGUGGCUCAGGAUGAACGCUGGCGGCGUGCUUAACACAUGCAAGUCGAGCGAAGCACUCUGUCCGGAUUCUUUCGGGAUGACGGACUUAGUGACUGAGCGGCGGACGGGUGAGUAACGCGUGGGUAACCUGCCUCAUACAGGGGGAUAACAGUUGGAAACGGCUGCUAAUACCGCAUAAGCGCACAGUACCGCAUGGUACCGUGUGAAAAACUCCGGUGGUAUGAGAUGGACCCCGCGUCUGAUUAGCUAGUUGGUGGGUAACGCCUACCAAGGCGACGAUCAGUAGCCGACCUGAGAGGGUGACCGGCCACAUUGGGACUGAGACACGGCCCAAACU